GAGACAUGCUCAUGUGGGUGGGGUCCCGCUGAUGGUGCCCACACCAUUUUCUGGGUUAAAUCCUGGAGGGAAUUUGGUUUUUGUUUGACUUUUAGCUUUUAACCCACACAUUUAACAUGGAUUGGGUUGGAUUUGGAAGGAGAAUAAAACCUAUAAAAUAACUUUUAGCCCAGAGUUGAGUUUGAUCUUAAGUAUAAGUCCUCAAUAGUCAAACUACUUGAUAGUCCAACUUUAUAUCUAUUAAAUUAUGUAAGCGAAAAUAAUAUUUUCUUAAUACGAUACAACCGUUUAUUUCUCGUACGUGUGAAAAAAUAGAGCUUGUUGUUGGCAUGCUUUUGUUACAUGGGCAUCAGUGCCUUGUCCUCUUUUGGUCUUUUACUUGACUUUUCAGUGGAGUUGAAUUUCCACCGACUUUCAUUAGAAUUCCAAAUUAUCACAUUAUCUUAUAACAAUAUCAUAUAUUAUUAUUAUGUCCUUUUGAUAAUCACA
rnacentral:lncRNA from 1 species